rnacentral:lncRNA from 1 species
AUACAACAUUGUAAGUCAACUAUACUCCAGUAAAAUUGAAAAAAAAAAGUCAUAGAAGAGGAGAUGAAUGAUGUUCAGUGUCACUAAUAAACCAGGGAAAUGCAAAAUAAAUUAUAAUGAGAUACUAAAAAAAAAAAAAAAAAAAAAAAAAAAGAGUGAGUCUAGCACCCUUCGAGCCUCAUUUGCCCACACUCAAAGGUGGGUACCACAAGGUGGGUGCCUCAACGGUACCACGCUGAUGAUCCUAUUCUCCAGAGACAUUCAGCUGGAAGGCAGAAAGUCCCCUGGGGCACAUCACGGGACAGUCUUUCCACCAGGAUUCACAGAGCUUUGCCAUCAUCUCUGAUCGCUGCUGCCACAGAAGACCAGCCAGCAGAGCUGCAUGUGCAGACCUGGGAAACGCUUUCAACUGAAUUUUUUUGAGGAAAAUGUACAUUUGCAAACUGGUGAGUAUGCCCCGAUGCUUUGAGCUCUCCCUAACCACACUCCUCUCCCCCAACCCGNCCCCCCCCCCCCCCCCCCCCCCCCCCCCCCCCGCCACUAGUCUCCAUGUCCAGUAGUCCUUCCCCCAGGCUUCUCUCUGCCUUUAGAAAGAUCAGCAAUUAUUUUCAGCUUCAAGCAAGAUGCUGCCCCACAGGGCCCUCCAGAGGCAGUAAGUCUGGGAGAAGGUGGAUGAUUUACAGAUCGCCAGGAACCUGGCAGAUACUGUGAAAUACUUUGCUGUCAACACCAAAGGAUUGAUGAGCAGAGUUUUGCUAACCAUAGAAAAAUAUGUUAGAGAAAAAAAAAAAAAAAGAGGACUCAACACCUCUCCUCCUCCUCUUGAGGAAUCUGAUUUCUUCUCUCUUUCUCACUGGUAGUUAAUUGCAUUUUUAGAUGCCUAAGAAAGAGAUAGAAACAUUCUUGCUUUGUGAUUUUUAGAAUUUCCUAACUCAUAAUGGGUGUGAUCUGGCCAACAUUAACAAUGGACUGAGUACCUGUGUUUGCAAUAUUUCCUGGAUCCCCUUGGUGGUCCACCUGUCAGAUUCUCCUGAGGAUCAUGUGAGGCUAAGUCUGGGCAGAGGCACUCAGUCUGUGUUACUGCUCUUGAUUCUGAGCCGUACUGUUGCCUCCUCCCCCUGUGAUUGGCACACUUAGCGUCCCUCACCAGUACCACCAAGUUGCCACAUUUCAAAACAACUUUCCUGUGUGCCAGAGUAGCCUGAGGUCCUGUGUUGAUGGUUUUUGUUCCUAUUUCUAUUCCUCCGACAGAUUACUGAUAUUUUAGAGUGGAUUUGUUGGGUCUGUUUUGUCCUGUUGCCUAAACUCAAUUCAGUUUAACAUUCAUUUAUGGAAUCUUCGGUAAGGACAGAGAUUAAAGCUAUGGAGGGUACCUACAAAGUUACGACACUGGGUAGGUAUCCAAGCACAAAAAGGGAAUGUAACACAAGAUAGAGUAAGAUAGGUGUCUUGGGAUGUGUAAAACAGUGCUCCUUGACCACGAUGCUGUUAAAUGUUGGUGUCAGAAAUGGGAUACUGAUGAGGAAAAGGGUGAACAACAGAAGGCAAGAAGCCUCUGUAUCAAACACUUCCACAACAAGUAAAUACAGACUUGAAUUCUGAGAGGGGUCUGUGCUUUUCUGGCCACAGUGGAACUUAGAUGUGCCUUGUAAGUCAACCUGUUUUCAGAGUAUGUGUGGAGAAGCGGAUACUUAUUUUUACGACUUUACCUUUGAGAUCGUUUUAGGUUUACAAAAAAAUUGAAAGGAAGGUACAGAGAUUUCCCCUAUGUCUCCUCUCCCCCCCACACACAUAACCUCCCCCAAUAUCAAUGUCACUCACCAGAACAGGUCUUUUUUUUUUUUUUUUUUUUUUAACCAAGAAUUUAACUUAGGGUUCACUCUCGUUGUUACACCUUCUAUGGACUUGGAUAAAUGAUAAGGACAUGUAUCCAUAACUAUAACAUCACACAGAAGGAGUUCCCUAUUGACACAGUAGGUUAAGGAUCUGGCCUUGUCACUGCUAUGGCUCAGGUCGCUGCAGUGGUAAGGGUUCAACCCCUGGCCCCAGAACUUCCACAUGCUGCAGGUGCCGUUAAAAAUAAAUAAAUAAAUAAAAGUAAUAACA